rnacentral:misc_RNA from 1 species
GUGAAUCAUCGAAUCUUUGAACGCAAAUUGCACUCUCUUCGUAGAGUAUGCCUGUUUGAGGGUCAGUAUUAAUAAAAAUCGGUGUGUUGCUCCUUCGUGACGCUCCGGUGUUUGGGUCAUCUUAAUAUUCUUUAGGUUUUAAGCGGAUUAAAAUUGAAUUUUUUUGCGCAUUUUAGCUGUACAUAUAUUCUUUUUUUUAUUAGUCUGUCUUAUUGCUCGUAAUCUUAUUAGAUGCGACACUAUCGCGUG